GAGUAGGUGGUAUAAAUUAUCAUAAAAUUGUGGGCCACUUUUGUGUUGGUAAAUUGUGUGCAUCUUCUGUGUUGGUAAAUCGAGGAGGAUGAUUAUCAUAAAUUGUGGAAAUCAUAUACCAUGAAAUGACUAUUGUUCCUGAACAAAGAGCUGCCUGGACGUGCCUGAAUGAAACAAAAGAUAAGUUAUUCAAAGUCUUGUGGUUUCCUGAGUUUGAAAGCGCUUGCCUCACCAUUUAUCGACUAGCUUUCAUACAGUCAACAUCGAUUUGUGUUUAAACAACAUUUGUGAGUCAUGGCGGAAUUUUUCUUCGAAACGUCUAAUGAUAAACCCGACCUUUUGUUUGGUGAUUUCACCGAAGAUGACUGGAUUGCCAUCGAUUUAGCAUGUGAAAAAGCAUACCGCAAAGAAAGACAAGAAAAUACUAUUCAAUCAAACAAGCGUUUGCGGGAUGAAGAUAUUGUUAUUGACCCAGUAGAUAAUUCUUUGUCCGGCUUUGAACACGAAUCG